rnacentral:rRNA from 1 species
UACAGAGGGUGCAAGCGUUGUUCGGAAUUACUGGGCGUAAAGGGCGCGCAGGCGGCUGCUCAAGUCAGGCGUGAAAGGCCUGGGCUCAACCCGGGAAUUGCGCUUGAGACUGGGCUGGCUUGAGUGCGGGAGAGGAUGGUGGAAUUCCCAGUGUAGAGGUGAAAUUCGUAGAUAUUGGGAAGAACACCGGUGGCGAAGGCGGCCAUCUGGACCGCAACUGACGCUGAGGAGCGAAAGCGUGGGGAGCGAACAGG